AGCUCCCUACUCAUCCACUGGCAGUAUAUAAUGUAUCAGGUGAGUUUGCCAUGUUGUGGCAUGGAGCUGAAGCUGGAGCUUUUGACCUGCACACUGCUGUUAUGGAGGCCAUGACUGCUUUCCGUCGUGCAGGAGCCGACAUCAUCACCUACUACUGUCCACAAUUACUCACAUGGUUAACAGAGUAAUAUGUUGGUUCUCCAAUAUGAAUGAACUUGGAUAAUACCAAAUCUACUACUAUCUCACCCUGAGACUGAAAAUUAUGACUUGUAGUAAAUCUGAUAUGCAAAUAUUACUACACAAAUCAAUAACUUUUUUUCCACAUUUUCUAAUUAGAUUUAUGUAUCUAGAUAUAAACAUAUUCAAUCAGCUUUGGUUUUUAUAAUUUUCUGUCAUUUUGGCAAGUGCAGAUGUUAAAUUGGUCAUUGUUUUCCAAAAUAUGAUUGAUUACAUCACAGAUUUGUUGUAAUUUUAAUGUGUUUCUGUAACACUAGCAAUAGACUUCAGGUUUGUAAUUACAGAAUUUUUUUUUCAAAUCAGUGUACUAAUAAUCACAUUAACAUAGGAAGUCCUGUUGGCAUUUCCAUUUUAAGUUUUACAUUGUUUCAUGUAGUGCAUUUUCUAAAUGUAUGUAACUAAAAAGAUAUGAAUAAAGCAAGAGAUAAACAUGGUAAACAUAAUUUGUUUAUUAUAGUUAAUAAACAUUAUUUACAUGUCUCUUGACCACUCAGUUUUGUAUUAUGCUUUAUUUACUGAGCAGGUUAUCAAAAAUGCCCAUCCCCUUCAUAGAGUUUACAGGCAAUUCAUCAUCGCUGUUAGUAUAUGAAAAAUAUUGGAAAUAUGGAUUUAUCUUAAGUGUUUUAAUUCCCAACAGAGUUUCAAAAAGCGCUGCUUAUAUAGGAACCACGUUGAACGGGGAAGGGUGACUUGGUAGAGGUGCCCUUGAGACUGACCAAACUUGGUGUCCUGCAGAACAAAGAAUAAUUUAGAAGUACCUAAACUUUUAUCCAAAUACCUUUGAAUGAUUUCUAAAGUAAUGUCCAUAUAUUACUUAAUGAUAACAUGUCACCCUGUGUUUGUGGCUCUUUUUGAGGAUGUAAGACAUGAAU